GGUCUUCAUGUAGUGGAGCAAUCUCUUUGGAAAGCGGUACCACACUAUCUUUGCCGUGUCAGCAGUUCUCUAAAGAAGCACACUGGAAGGACACUUCCGCUAACCUCCACACCAAUCAAGUUUGGUUCUUGGAUGGGUGGUGACCGGGACGGGAAUCCUAAUGUUACAGCAAAAGUGACUAGGGAUGUUUCGUUGUUGUCCCGGUGGAUGGCAAUUGACUUAUACAUCAGGGAAUUAGAGAAUCUCAGCUUUGAGCUAUCCGUCAAGAGAUGCAGUGAAAAGGUUGCAAACUUGGCUAAUGAAAUUUUGC